AGUUCGUGGAGUGAUCUGUCUGCUUAAUUGCGUUUCGCUAAGAGUUAACAUUCUACUAUUGCGUCCCGCUGUUCGGUUGGUAAAACAACUUUGAACGCUGCGCAUUGUAGGUUAAAUACUCUGAAAGCAACGAACGUGACCGCAACCUCUUGUUGCCUUGUUGCUACAUUCCAUGGUGUCGGUGCCAGUCGACUUUGUAUGGGUUCGCUCAUGCAUGACUGUCUGGUAUUGCAUACCGUGUGAAUAACAAAAAGGCUUUAAAACUAGAGGAACCGCUGUGAAAAUUUCUUAAAACAGAGGAAGAUUGCGGCAAUAACAGGU
rnacentral:rRNA from 1 species